UUUUUUUUUUUCUUUUUUUGCCUUUUUGCCUUUUCUAGGGCCACUCCCACGUCUGGAACCUCCAUGUGCCGUGGGAGCGGCCCAAGAAAUAGCAAAAAGACAAAAACAAAAACAAAGUUGGUCUUGGAUUUGUUACAAAACAUACAUGUUGAUAAUAGCUCUUGCUUAUAGAGUGCUUACCAUAUGCCAGAUACCAUGGUAAUUGCUUUACAUUUACUAGUACAGUUAAUCCUCAUAGUAACCCAAGGAAGUAGUAACUAUUAUUAUCCCUGCUUUUAGGUGUGGAAGCUGAGGCCUGUAGAGGUUAGGUGAUUUAUGCAAGGUUAUAUAGCUAAUAAGUGGUGGGUCUGGGAUAUGAAUAUAGACAGUUUGCCUUCAGAGUUUGUGACCUUAACUUCUACAUGUACUGUUUUUCUCUUUAGUCGAAUGGAAAAAAAUGAAACAAUUUAAAUAUGAGCAAGGGAGGAUUCCUUUAGAAAGGAAAGUCUUUCUAAUGACUUAUAAAAAGCAGAAGACUUAAAAGAUUGAUAAAUUUAAUCACAACAAAAUAAAAAUCAUCUUCCAGGCAAAAAUUACCAUCAGCAAAUUCAAAAGAUAAAGUGGGGUAAAUAUUUGCAACUCAUAUCAUAGGUGAAGGAUUGAUCUCCCUAAAAUGUAAGACGUUCCUAGAAGAUAAGAAAACACCAAGAACCGUUAGAGAAAUAGACAAAGGUUAUGAGCAGUUACAGAAAAGGUGGUAUAAUUGACUCUAGAAUGUAUAAAAAGAUGCUCAACUUCACUCAUAAUGAGAAUGUGAGUCCCAUUUUUCACUCUUCAGAUUGGCAAAAAUCCAGAACUUUGAUGAUACACUUUGUUGGUAAAUCCUUAAGGAAAAAGGCACUCUCGUACAUUGCUGGCAAGAAUGUAAAUUGGCUCAACUCUUAUGGAAGGCAAUUUGGCAAUAUCUAUCAAAAAUUUAAAUGCAUAUACCUUUUGACCUAGGAAUUCAGUUUCUGGGAAUUUAUCCUACAGAUACACUUGCACUCAUGCCAAAUGAUGACUGUACCAGGUUAUUCACUGCAGCUUUGUUUGCAGUAGUCAAAGAUUGGAAACAACCCAAAUGCCCAUCAAUAGGGGCUAGUUAAAUAAAUUAUGGUUCCUCCUCACAAUGGAAUAUGCAGCUGUAUAAAAGAACAUGGGAAAUCUAUAUGAAUGGGUAUGGCGAGAUUGCCAAGAUAUAGUGUUAAGUGAAAAGUGCAAGGUCAGAACAGCGUUAUACAUUUCCUUAACUCUUGUGUGAACAGGGAGGGAAAUAAUCAUAUGUAUGCACAAAGAAACUUCCAAGGACAGCUAAGAAACUAAUGGCUGGGAAGAGGACUAUGCAGUGAACUGAUGGUGGAGGGGAGACAGAGCUGGGAGACUUGACGCUGUGCUUUUUUUUAUAACUUUCGACUUUUGUAAUGUGACUGUGUUAUUGAAUUAAGUAACUCUACUUUGAAGAUGAUCUCUUUCUGCUGUUUUUAGCCUAAUUGACCAGCUUUCUAUCAUCUUUUGUCAUCCCUGUUUCAAGUUCUUUUUAAAUUUUACUCUCUUUUUCUUGUCAAAGUCUUUUUUUCUUCCCCAACUUGCUUUUGUAAUCAAAAUCCACAUUUUGGCAUGAUUUAAAAAUCUAAAUUUAGAGGGUGAAAUUGAAAUAAGUUAAUCCAAGUCAUUUUACAUUUCAUAAAUAUUCAUUUUUAUUGAAGCGUCAAUUGUGGUGGCAUCAUUUAUACAAAGAAAAGAUCUUUGGGGACAAAUUCCUUCCACUAUUAUGUAGAAGGCAUUAUGUGUAUUUCUUUUAUUUUGAGUGAUGUACGUAGACUUUUAAAAGAAAAUGAUAGAAAACAAUUUUCCUUUUAGAAAAAUUUUCCCCAAUGUGUGAUUAAUUUCUAAAUUGUAGGACACAGAGCUAUUAUCUCUCCUCUGCAUCCUGUCUAAAGCUCUUUAUUUUAUCCUCUGUUUCAGAAUCCUUAGUACUUCUCUGAAAUCCUUGGAAUAGGAUAUUCCAUACCUCCCAGGAUCUGAUCCUUACCAUUCCAGCUUUUCUUCCCGGUGUGCCACUAUAGAACCUCAAAUUCUGGCUGGCAUGUGUUUUAGUGUUUUGCCUCUGGAAAUGCUCAUGUGAUUUUUACCCAAGUGGGUUCCACAUUCCAAUCUUUUCAUUUAGUUCUUUAUUAAGUGUUUAUUAAAAGCCUGCUUAGGUAAAACAUUGUGUUUUCCAUUUAUCUGUAAGAUACUUUUCCUUAAAACUUGCCCUGCUAGAAUUCCAUUUCUCCUAUAAAUCCAUCCCUUUCCUCUCCAACCUAAGUGACCCCUUUCUUUUCUAUUAGAUAAAUAAUUAUGUGCCUACCACUUUAUGAAUCUUCUUAUCAGAUCUUCCAUUUGUUACUUAGGUGCUUUUUUGCUACCCAGGAUAUCAAAUCUAUGUCUUAUCUCCCCAUACGAGUAUGAGCUCCCCAGAGUAUGGCUGUCCAGAGGGGGGCACCAUGUUUCACUGUUUAGAGGGAGGGGCUAGGCCAUGUUUGAUACUUGUUUUAUCCUGUAGUCUAUAGCACCUCACAAAGGGCACUGCCUGCAUCAGACACUCAAUAAUGUUUUGUGGAUAUUGGGCAAAGUGUGUUUAAUGUGACAACAAAGACCAAAAAGGUGGUCUUUUUAUGUAACCAUUCUGUGACACAGAAAAUCUAAUAAUGAAACACAACAUGUUCCAUCUUUGGGGCACAUACUCUGUGCUUCCACUAGUGGUGAUAGAUUUGUGCUGAUGUCAGACUUUCCUCUCCAUCAUGCCUGUGACAGUGGUAAGCUUUUCUCUUGGCCAGGAUGAAUGAUGGGGAGCCCCUUGUCCUCACAUCUCUGAGCAGUGACAUGCUAGGAACCGGUGGCAGUGGUAGGGCAAGAGGUGUCAUGCUUGGUACAGCCUGGGGUGGGGGCGGCCCUGGCCUGCUGCCCUCCAGUUCAGGGGGACUCAGGGAGUCCCUGUGUUGGCUGGGGGAGGGAGGAGAGUGAGGGCAGCUGAGGUGAGGAAUGGCAAGCUGAUUGGGUGAGGAGACAUCAGCCUAGGAUAUGGGUGCCAAGAGAGCCAGGAGCUUCCAGGCCCUCAGCUGGGGCCUGAGCCGAUGCCUCUUUGCUGAGCUUGGUCUGGCCCCUUCACAGGCCCCAGUGCCCUAAUGGCUGUCACCCCUGCUGCCUUGGCAGACGGCCAGGCCCUUUCCCAUGCUACCACAGCUGGCUGGCUCUGCCAUCCUGUGCCAGUCCAAAUCGCCAAACUCUGGUGCUGUACGAAAGACUGAAUUCUGCAAAAGAUAUUUGAGGACAUCAGUGUAUGAUGAAGGAAAGUUGUGAUUCUUCUAUAUCCUACUCUUUCAUCUUUCUUCCAUUAUUAAUCUCGUUUGUUAGAGAGCAUCAUGAUGUUUAGUGAGAAGUUAGCACUAGAGUGCAAACUACUUGAGAGCAGGAUUCUGUCUUAUUCUUUGUGCCUGGAACACAGUACGUUGACAGUAAAACUGCAGGCCCACACAAUAGCCACAGCAACUGGGGAUCCGAACAUCGACUGCGCCCUACACCACAGCUCACGGAAACACCGGAUUCUUAACCCAUUGAGUGAGGCCAGAGAUCGAACCUGUGACCUCAUGGAUACUAGUUGGGUUCAUUAACCACUGAGCCAUGAUGGGAACUCCUAGCCACAUUCAUCUUUGAUCCUUGCCUCUGUAUACAAUAUUGCCCUCCUCCAAUAAGCCUGGAUUGUUCCUUGCCUUCUGUAUUAGUGGUUUCCAAAGAAACAGAAAUACACACACACACACACACACACACACACACACACACACACACACACACAGAGAUUUGCUGUGAGAGAUUGGCUGACAUGAUAGUGGAGGCUGAGAAGUGUAAGAUCUGCCAUCUGUCAGCUGGACGCUCAGGAUAGCCGGUGAUGUAAUUUAGUCCAAGCCUGAAAGAUGAGAACCAGGUGAGCCAGUCUGAGUCCUAAGAACCAGAAUCAGGAGUGUCUGAGGGCAGGAGAAGACAGACGUCCCACUCAAGCAGAGAGAGCAGAUGCACCCUUCCUUCACCUUUCUAUUCCGAUCUGAUCAGAUUGGGUGAGCCCCCUCAUAUUGGUAAGGCCAUCUUCUUUACUCAGUGUCCCAAUCUAAAUAACCAGCUCUUCUGGAAGCACCUUCACAGACACAAUCAGAAGUAAAAAUUCAUCAGCUAUCUGGGCAUCCCUUAGCUCAGUCAAGUUGCCACGGAAAACUAACCAUCACACUCUCCUUGGCCACUGCUUCCACUCUUCCCAGUCUAUCAUGAGCACCACUAUGAGGCAUCUGUUUAAACCUAAUUUCUUUCUGUAACUGCUGAGAAAAUAGUGGUAACCCCAUGUGAUCUGUCUGAUGACUCUACUCUCUUCAUCUUGGAGUUAGAAACUUUCUUUAACUUGCUGCUAAUCUCAGUGUUCCCGAUCUCUGCUUUCAACGCUGAGGUUGACUCCUGCUCUUAGAAUCUUCCUCCAGGAUAUUUGUGCUUUUAUUUACAGCCCAUCUCAAUAUUCCUGGGCUUUUUUAAGGCUAAAUAUAUAUGGAGCGCAAUGAUUGCUGUUUUCCCUCUGAAGUCCUAGUCUGGUCACAGUGCCCUGUGUGCAUGGCCAGAGCUCUUGGAUGACAAUGGCCAAGCUAAGCUGUUUGGUCUUCCAAUAACAUCCCUGAAUGUCCUCUCAAAAACGUUCCUCACCUUUGGUGAAAUACUUGGCUACUUUGGUUAUGAUGCUGUUAAAAUAAACUGAGGCAUAUUCAAAUUUUUAAGAGUUUAUUUGAGCAAAAAUUGAUUCAAAUCAGGCAGCAUCCCAUCUAGCAGAUAAAAGGAGCUACAGGGAUCUGUACAAAAAGAAAGAUUUCUUUUUUUUUGUCUCUUGAGGGCUGCACCCCCAGCAUAUGGAAGUUCCCAGGCUAGGGGUCUAAUCAGAACAGCAGCUUCUGGCCUACACCACAGCCACAGCAAUGCGGGAUCUGAGCCAUGUCUUUGACCUACACCACAGCUUAAGGCAACACCGGAUCCUUAACCCACUGGGCGAGGCCAGGGAUCAAACCUGUAUCCUCAUGCAUACUAAUCGGGUUUGUUACCGUUGAGCCAUGAAAGGUUUUUAUAGGCAGGAGGAAAUAGGAACAAAGAAUAUACUAGGCAAAAUAGUGGGUUGGUUAUUACAAGGAUGCUUUCCUCUAGGGGAUGGCAGAAUGUCUCUCAGGCAGGUUACCCAACUAGUGCUCAUCAGGUGAGCACUGGUUUAAGACUUCAUUUCUGGGAGAGCCCAAACUGCAGCUGAGGUAAAUCUUGGCUUGGUGACGUGGGGCUUAGCAUAAGCCACUUCAUUUGGGUCCUGUUGUUUUUUAUUUUUAAACAUUGCCAAACGCUUGAUUUUACCUUAACCAGAGAAUGCCACAGCCUCUGAAUCAGCUGGGUCCUCUUCUGUAAGCUGAGUCUCUUAUGAAAUGGUGGCUAAGGCUAGUGCCCUUCAUAGAGAAAGAGAUGGUUCCUUAUAUUUCUGUAGGACUUUUGUACCAUUUCAUGUGAGCAUAUCUACAGAAUUUCUCAGCAGGAUAUAUUUUUGAUCCACUAGCUUGUUGCAUAAGUGUAUUAAAUUUGUGUUAUAAUACAGUAAAGACUAGUAUUGGUGAAACUGGAAGAAAUGCAGUUACAGUGUGUUUUGAUGAGUAUAUUAUUACUACAUUUAAAAAAAUGAAGAAUAAAAUUCAGAAACAUUGAAUAUCUUCCCAGCGCAUGUACAUAAAAUGAAUUCUUUAGAAGGUGUUACCAUGGUAAGGUAAUCACAUUAGUGUUGAAUUUUCCUCUGGAACUUUUUCAUAUUUCACCUUUUUUUUUUUUUAAAUAAUAUAGUUUACUGUUAGGUACUUUAUAGUUUUCUUAGGUCAAACAUAAUGUGAAAAAUUAAAAAGCAUUGUUCACAGGGGGCCAAACGUUAUUCUUUGGCCAACUGAAAAAAUUUUGAUAUUUUAACAGAUUUUGCCCAGAAGGCGAGAGUCAUGAAAUUGAAAUACUGUGAGGGAAUUCAGAGCUUUCCAGCUGGAGCAAAUGAAACCUCAAGGAAAAAAAAAAAAAAAA
rnacentral:lncRNA from 1 species